AACAAGGUAUGCUUGGAGGAGCUCCGGCUGAAGAGGAUGGUGGUUUCCGAUGAAAGCUUGGAGCUGCUCUCGAGGUCUUGUGCGAAUUUUAAGUCUUUGGUUCUUGUUAGUUGUGAAGGUUUCACCACUGAUGGGCUUGCUGCUAUUGCUGCUAAUUGUAGGUAAGAAAUAAUUACUUCCCUUUCAUUCUUUUUUCUUUUUCUCCUCUAUUUUUUAAGCUUUUAGAUGGUCUGGCUUUAUCUAUUUAUCUUUUGUUUUGUUCUAAUGCGGUGUUGAGUAUUUGGGUUGCUUAAAAAGAUUGUUCCUUUUACCUUGAAUUGCUUAUGGAAUUUCUGUUAGAAGUAAAAAAUUCUACUGCAGUCCAGUUAAGUGUAAUAAGAACUGGAAUUCAGGAAAAAAAAGUUAUCCUUGGGAUCUACUUCCCUACUUCUUCACAGAUCAAUAUGUUGUAUUAUUUGAUAGACUCUUGUUUUUUGUGAAUUAGAAUUUUUUGUAGUCGCCUGCUUUGUUCCCGACAUUGCUAUUUGCAACAUAAUUUUUUCCCCCAUCCUUGUUUUCAUUUGCAAUGUUGUGUUGUUUCACAGUCUGCAAGUUAUUAUCUGUUUCUAGGUUGGCUUUUUUAUCUAUGUAAUCAACAUUGUUGUGAUGCCAAUAAAUUCAACGGAUGCUCUUAUUUAAAUUUUGUUAACACAAGUAAAAUUUCUCAUCUGCCUGGAUGUACUGCUUUUUGAAAUUUUCCACAACUCCCUUUCUUUAUUGAAAUCAAGCUUCUUGUUAGUGUUAUAGUCUAGAUUAUUGGUUCGCUUUCGAGGCUGUGCUUGUUUGCUUUCAUAUAAGAAUUGUUAUCCAAUUUAAUGAAAUUAAAAGCAUCUGAAAAUUAAAAUGCAGUUGCAAAGCGGCAACAACUAUCACCUGUUAGCCUACCACAAUAAGAGAAUGUGUUGUGGGUGGUUAAUAACUUACUAUGAAUGUUGGGUAUUUAGAGUCCGGACAUAGAUACGAGUUGUGUUAUAACUUUAUAUGCCUUUCUCUAUCUUCACCCAGGUUUCUUAGAGAGCUGGACCUGCAAGAAAAUGAAGUUGAGGAUCAUAGAGGCCACUGGCUUGGUUGUUUCCCUGAUAACUGUACAUCUCUCAUAUCACUUAAUUUUGCUUGCCUCAAAGGAGAUAUUAAUUUGGGAGUUCUAGAGAGACUCGUAGCAAGAUCUCCAAAUCUCAGAAGUUUGAGGUUAAAUCGAGCAGUUCCACUUGAUACACUUCAGAAGAUAUUGAUGCUAUCGCCUCAGUUAUUGGACUUGGGUGUAGGAUCUUGUGUGCAUGAUCCAGAAUCUGAAACCUACAACAAAUUAGUGACUGCCAUUCAAAAGUGUAAAUCAGUCAGGAGCUUGUCCGGGUUUUUGGACGUCGCUCCUCACUGCCUACCAGCUUUUCACUUGAUUUGCCCAAACCUGACCUCCUUGAAUCUGAGCUAUGCUCCAGGAAUUCAAGGUAGUGACCUUACAAAGCUAAUUCGCCACUGUAGGAAACUCCAGCGCUUAUGGGUAUGGCUUAUUAACUAACUUCUUUAGAAAUUCAAUGGUUUGCUUUUUUGUCAUUGCAGAUUUGACAAUGGAUGUUUGCAAUAAUUGCAGAUACUAGACUGUAUUGGAGAUAAAGGACUAGAAGUUGUGGCAUCCACUUGUAAGGAUUUGCAGGAACUGAGGGUUUUCCCUUCGGAUCCUUAUGUUGGAAAUGCAGCAGUGACGGAAGAAGGCUUGGUUGCUAUUUCCAGUGGUUGUCCUAAGCUUCAUUCAAUUUUAUACUUUUGUCAGCAGAUGACAAAUGCAGCCCUCAUAGCAGUCGCCAAGAACUGUCCGAAUUUUAUCCGCUUCAGGUUGUGUAUCUUGGAUCCCACAAAACCAGAUGCUGUGACCAUGCAGCCAUUAGAUGAAGGUUUUGGGGCUAUUGUUCAUUCAUGCAAGGGUCUCAGGCGACUGUCACUUACUGGUCUUCUGACUGACCAAGUUUUCCUUUACAUUGGAAUGUAUGCUGAACAACUUGAAAUGCUUUCAAUCGCAUUUGCUGGGGAUAGUGACCAGGGGAUGCAGUACGUGUUAAAUGGUUGCAAGAAACUUCGUAAAUUAGAGAUCAGGGACUGCCCUUUUGGCAAUGGAGCACUUCUUAUGGACGUGGGAAAGUAUGAGACAAUGCGAUCCCUUUGGAUGUCGUCCUGUGAAGUUACACU
rnacentral:lncRNA from 1 species